UGGAGGGGCAGAGAGAGAGAGAGGGACAGAGGAUCCGAAGAGGGUUCUGAGCUGACUGCAGUGAGACCGAUGUGGGGUCCAAACACACCAAAUGUGAGAUCAUGACCUGAGCCGAAGCCAGAUGCUCAUCCGACUGAGCCACCCAGGUGCCCCUGGAAACAACACAUUUUAAUUUCCACUAACUUUUAACUGAAGUGUAGCAUUUUCUUCUGUUUUGAAUGGAACAACAGUGGCAUUCGUGGUACCUAUGACUUGGCGAAAUCAGGCAAGGGCAACAAAAGCAAAAAUGAACAAUCAGCACUACAUCAAACUGAAAAGCUUCUGCACGGGGAGGAAAACCAUCAACAAAAUGACAAGGUAACCUACUGAAUGGGAGAAGAUAUUCAUGAAUGAUAUAUCCAAUAAGAGGGUAACAUCCAAAAUAUAUGAAGAAUUCAUAUAACUCAAUAGCAAACAAAAAAUCUGAUCAAAGUAUCAGCAGAGGAUCUGAAUAGACAUUUUUCAGAGAAGACAUAAAAGUAAUGCAAAAAGGUGCUCAACAUCACUCACCAUCAGGGAAAUGCAAUUCAAAGCCACAAUGAGAUAUCACCUCACACCUGUCAGAAUGGCUAUUAUCAAAAAAAUAAGAAACAGCAAAUGUUGGUGAUGAUGUGAAGGAAAGGGAGCCCUCAUGCACUUUUGGUGGGAAUGUAAAUUGGUGCACUACUGGUAUUAAGUUACAAAAAACUGUGUUAAAAUAAAAAAUACAACCACCAUGUGAUCCAGCAAUUUCACCUCCAGAUAACACAAACUAAAACGCUAAUUUGAAACGAUAUCUGUGCCUUUAUGGUCAUUGCAGCAUUAUUUACAGUAGCCAGGAUAUAGAAGUGACCUAAAUGUCCCUCAAUAGAUGAAUCUUCCUCUAAAGAAGAUGUGGUAUAUUUAUACGCAUAAUGGAAUAUUACUCAGCCAUAAGAAAGAAUGAAAUCUUGCCACUUGCAACAAGCCACUUGAACCUAGAGAACAUCAUGUUAUGUGAAGUAAGUCAGACUGAUAAAGACAGAUACCAUAUGAUUUUACUUCUAUUUGGAAUCUGAAAAACAAAACAAAUGAACAAACAAAACUAAACAGAAACGGCCUCAUAGAUACAGAGAAAAAACUGAUGGUUGCCAGAAAGGGGGGAUGGAUGGAAUGGGGGAAGAGGGUUAAGAGUAACAAAUAUUCCAGUUCUAAAAUAAGUAAGACAGAGAGAUAAAAUGUACAGCACAGGGAGUAGAGUCAAUAAUAUUGUAACAGCUCUGUAUGGUGAUUAGGCUUAUGGUGGUGAGCAGAGCAUCAUGUAUAUAAAUAUUAAAUCACUAUGUUGUACACCUGAAACUAACAUGGUAUUGUAUGUAAAUUAUUUUUAAUAAAAAAUAAACCACAUAGUUCUAU